AAGCUCACUGAAGGCUGAAAGAGCCUUCGUCAGCUGCUUUGCCACUGCAGAAACGGAAUAUGAAAUGUUCACUCAGUAGGCAACUGGGAAAGGAGGAAACAGACAAUGGCUUAAGUACUUGGGAUUCUGUUACCCAUGUGGGAAAUCCAGAUGGAGUUCCUGGCUCCUGGUUUUGACCUAGUCCAGCUCCAGCCCCAGCUGUUGAAGAUUCAAACAGGAUCCUCCCAAAGAACACCUGAUUAAGAGACAAUCAAAACAUCCCACUGCUGACUCCUGAGU